UACGUAGGGCGCGAGCGUUGUCCGGAUUUAUUGGGCGUAAAGAGCUCGUAGGCGGCUUGUUGCGCCAGCUGUGAAAACCCGCAGCUCAACUGUGGGCUUGCAGCUGAUACGGGCAGGCUUGAGUUCGGUAGGGGAGACUGGAAUUCCUGGUGUAGCGGUGAAAUGCGCAGAUAUCAGGAGGAACACCGGUGGCGAAGGCGGGUCUCUGGGCAUGUCCUGACGCUGAGGAGCGAAAGUGUGGGGAGCGAACAGG
rnacentral:rRNA from 1 species